AUAAAUAUCAAAUUAUACAUGAAAUAUAUAGAAAAUUGCAAUGGAGAAGAAACGAACAGGCAAAAUACAUGCUCCGUUGACCUACCUUGAUCACUAUGACAGGAGGAUAUGAGCUCUGGAAGUGUUACCGUAGAUGCUAAAACACAUGGUUGGCCACACUCCGUUCAAAAAUUCACGAAGGUAAGUUCAGGUGGAGCCAGCAAAAUGAACAUAAAAAUGACCGGUUGAAUUGGGAGAAGUUGAUGAGGCCAAAAGAAAAAGGUGGCCUGGGAUUUUGAGACCUGCAUAAUUUCAAUCUUGCUAUGUUAGUUGUUAGGUUAGGGCAUCAGGCUGUUAGUUGUUAGGUUAGGACAUCAGGCUUAAGAGCCUCUGUUGUCACUCCAGUGGCCGGAACAGAUACAUGUCCACCCUUUGUUGUCACCCUAAUGUCAGUUUGGGUCUUGCGGACAUGCAAACCUAGUCUGCAAAAUUUCUUUUCUGAGGCAAGCCAUGUCAUUUGAGACCACAUUCACAUUACAUUUACAUAAAUAUAUUUUUGUGGCACCAGAGACAAAUGGGCACCAGAAACAAAUAGAAUGCGUGGUAGACAUUGCUCAACUUACAUUAGUCAGAUCAAGCUGAAAAUGUUUGAGAAACAUACAUGGCCUCGAAGAAAGAUUUAGACUUACUAUCUGACAUUUUGUACAUACUCCAGAGCAAGGAAAAAACAUAAAAAAGAAGAAGA